ACGAACGCUGGCGGCGUGCUUAACACAUGCAAGUCGAACGGAAAGGCCCCUUUGGGGGUACUCGAGUGGCGACCGGGUGAGUAACACGUGAGUAACCUGCCCUUGACUUCGGGAUAACUUCAGGAAACUGGGGCUAAUACCGGAUAGGAAUCCUUGCUGCAUGGUGGGGGUUGGAAAGCUUCGGCGGUUUUGGAUGGACUCGCGGCUUAUCAGCUUGUUGGUGGGGUAGUGGCUUACCAAGGCUUUGACGGGUAGCCGGCCUGAGAGGGCGACCGGCCACAUUGGGACUGAGAUACGGCCCAGACUCCUACGGGAGGCAGCAGUGGGGAAGAUUGCACAAUGGGCGGAAGCCUGAUGCAGCAACGCCGCGUGCGGGAUGACGGCCUUCGGGUUGUAAACCGCUUUCAGCAGGGGCGAAGCUUGUGGUGACGGUACCUGCAGAAGAAGCACCGGCUAACUACGUG
rnacentral:rRNA from 1 species